rnacentral:rRNA from 1 species
AGGGUUUGAUCAUGGCUCAGAACGAACGCUGGCGGCAGGCCUAACACAUGCAAGUCGAGCGCGCUCUUCGGAGUGAGCGGCGGACGGGUUAGUAACGCGUGGGAACAUACCUUUCGGUAAGGAAUAGCCACUGGAAACGGUGAGUAAUACCUUAUACGCCCUUCGGGGGAAAGAUUUAUCGCCGAGAGAUUGGCCCGCGUUAGAUUAGAUAGUUGGUGGGGUAACGGCCUACCAAGUCUACGAUCUAUAGCUGGUUUUAGAGGAUGAUCAGCAACACUGGGACUGAGACACGGCCCAGACUCCUACGGGAGGCAGCAGUGGGGAAUCUUGGACAAUGGGCGCAAGCCUGAUCCAGCCAUGCCGCGUGAGUGAUGAAGGCCUUAGGGUCGUAAAGCUCUUUCGCCAGAGAUGAUAAUGACAGUAUCUGGUAAAGAAACCCCGGCUAACUCCGUGCCAGCAGCCGCGGUAAUACGGAGGGGGUUAGCGUUGUUCGGAAUUACUGGGCGUAAAGCGUACGUAGGCGGACCAUUAAGUUGGGGGUGAAAUCCCGGGGCUCAACCCCGGAACUGCCUCCAAAACUGCUGGUCUUGAGUUCGAGAGAGGUGAGUGGAAUUCCGAGUGUAGAGGUGAAAUUCGUAGAUAUUCGGAGGAACACCAGUGGCGAAGGCGGCUCACUGGCUCGAUACUGACGCUGAGGUACGAAAGUGUGGGGAGCAAACAGGAUUAGAUACCCUGGUAG